GGCGGCGUGCUUAACACAUGCAAGUCGAGCGGAAAGGCCCUUCGGGGUACUCGAGCGGCGAACGGGUGAGUAACACGUGAGCAACCUGCCCCAGGCUUUGGGAUAACCCCGGGAAACCGGGGCUAAUACCGAAUAUGACCUUCGGUCGCAUGACUGGUGGUGGAAAGUUUUUCGGCUUGGGAUGGGCUCGCGGCCUAUCAGCUUGUUGGUGGGGUGAUGGCCUACCAAGGCGACGACGGGUAGCCGGCCUGAGAGGGCGACCGGCCACACUGGGACUGAGACACGGCCCAGACUCCUACGGGAGGCAGCAGUGGGGAAUAUUGCACAAUGGGCGGAAGCCUGAUGCAGCGACGCCGCGUGAGGGAUGACGGCCUUCGGGUUGUAAACCUCUUUCAGCAGGGACGAAGCGUAAGUGACGGUACCUGCAGAAGAAGCGCCGGCCAACUACGUGCCAGCAGCCGCGGUAAGACGUAGGGCGCGAGCGUUGUCCGGAUUUAUUGGGCGUAAAGAGCUCGUAGGCGGCUUGUCGCGUCGACUGUGAAAACCCGCAGCUCAACUGCGGGCCUGCGGUCGAUACGGGCAGGCUAGAGUUCGGUAGGGGAGACUGGAAUUCCUGGUGUAGCGGUGAAAUGCGCAGAUAUCAGGAGGAACACCGGUGGCGAAGGCGGGUCUCUGGGCCGAUACUGACGCUGAGGAGCGAAAGCGUGGGGAGCGAACAGGAUUAGAUACCCUGGUAGUCCACGCUGUAAACGUUGGGCGCUAGGUGUGGGGGGCCUCUCCGGUUCCCUGUGCCGCAGCUAACGCAUUAAGCGCCCCGCCUGGGGAGUACGGCCGC
rnacentral:rRNA from 1 species